UCGCUUAAAGAGAAUAAUAGUCCAGAUUAAAGAGGUAUGUUUUAAGAUCUCGCUUAAAGAGAAUAAUAGUCCAGAUUAAAGAGGUAUGUUUUAAGAUCUCGCUUAAAGAGAAUAAUAGGCCAGAUUAAAGAGGUAUGUUUUAAGAUCUCGCUUAAAGAGAAUAAUAGGCCAGAUUAAAGAGGUAUGUUUUAAAAUCUCGCUUAAAGAGAAUAAUAGGGCAGAUUAAAGAGGUAUGUAUGUUUUAAAAUCUCGCUUAAAGGUUUCCACAGUUCCAGCCAUUCUGAGGUCCUCUGGCAUGGUAUUCCAAAGGCUCUAACCCUGUAAUGGUCAUCAUAGCUUGACAUUCCCAAGGGAGUCUCUUCAUGCUUCACAACUGUUUCAUUUGUUUAUGCUCCCACAUGGGUCUAUAAACUUUAUUUGUGUAGCACCUUUCAUACAAAACACUACAGCUCAAAGUGCUUAACAGCAAAGAAAUGAUGUGCACAAAGAAAUGGCAUGCACAGUGAUCCGCAUAAAAAUAGACAUCAUAAAAACUAGGAUAGAGUGCAUAAAGUGCUCUUAGACCUAAGGGCAGCUUUUGAUACGAUUGAUCAUGACAUCCUAAUCAAUCGUCUUGAAAAGUUAGUUGGGCUUUCUGACUCUGUUUUAAACUGGUUUCAGAACAUUCAUCAAAGGGAGAAAGUUUUACGUCA
ensembl:lncRNA